UGAGUAACCUGCCCUUAACUCUGGGAUAAGCCUGGGAAACUGGGUCUAAUACCGGAUAUGACUCCUCAUCGCAUGGUGGGGGGUGGAAAGCUUUAUUGUGGUUUUGGACGGACUCGCGGCCUAUCAGCUUAUUGGUGAGGUAAUGGCUCACCAAGGCGACGACGGGUAGCCGGCCUGAGAGGGUGUCCGGCCACACUGGGACUGAGAUACGGCCCAGUCUCCUACGGGAGGCAG
rnacentral:rRNA from 1 species